GUUCGAACCGGCUGGUCGAACCGGUUAAACCGUAAACCGGAAACUAAAGCGGUUCGGACAAUUAGAAAAACCGCAAAAUUAAGAAAUCGGCGUUGAACCGACAAACCGACCGGUUACCGGUCGGUCGAACCGAACCGGGACCCGGCCGGUUUUUUAGCCGUGCAGCAAAACGCUGCCGUUUUGCGUUUUGUGAAAUGUGAACCCUAAUUCUUCUUUGCCAUUCGCACUUGCGUGUUGCAUCCCAGACUCCCAGUUCCACACGGCCACACCCACAGACCCACACCCACGCACUUCAGCUCCACUCUCAUCAUUCAUCACCGUCACGAUCCGUCGCACUAUCACGUCAGAGAGAGUGAGAGACAGAGAACGCCUGAAGCCCUGAACGCCAUCCCGAUCCGUCGCACCUUCAGCACCGUCGCGCCGUCAGCUCCGUGGCGCCGUUGGGUCCGUCGCGCCGUCAGCUCCGUCGCGCACUCAGCCACUUCGACCAGUCACCUCCAUCGAGCUCUGAGAGAAAGCAAUAGAGUUCGGUUGAAGCGUUAAAUAGGUGAAGCCUGAAGCCUCAAGCCUCAAGGUGCCUUCGAGCUCUGAGAGAAAGCAAUAGAGUUCGGUUGAAGCGUUAAAUAGGUGAAGCCUGAAGCCUCAAGGUGCCUUCGAGCUCUGAGAGAAAGCAAUAGAGUUCGGUUGAAGCGUUAAAUAGGUGAAGCCUGAAGCCUCAAGGUGCCUUCGAGCUCUGAGAGAAAGCAAUAGAGUUCCAGGUAAUUUUUAAUUUAGUUAUGAACUGUUGCAUGAUGAACUGACUCUGAGUCUCUGAUACUGUGAUGAAAUCUGAUACUGUGAACUCUGUGAAUUGACUGAAUUCUGAUGAAACUGUGAACUCUGAUUGUGUGAACUCUGAUUUAUAAUUUAUGUGACAUGAUUUUGUCAUUGUGAACUCUGAUUUUGAGAGAUGAAAUUGUGAACUCUGAUUGUGUGAACUCUGAUUUUAUAAAAUAUGAUUGUGUGAACUUUGAUUUAUGUGACAUGAUUUUGUCAUUGUGAACUCUGAUUUUGUAUACUCUGAUUUUGAGAGAUGAUUCUGUGAACAAAGAAUUUUUUGAACUCUGAUUUUGUGACAUGAUUUUGUCAACACUGAUUUUGAGACAUGAUGAACUGCUAAACUUUGAAUUUUGGAUGUUGUUUGUUCAUUUGUUGUGAACUUGAGAGUUGAGAUCAUUGGGUUGGAUUACUGUGAACUCUGUUCAUUGAGUAGCUCUUUGAUUUUGUGACAUGAUGAACUAUUGAACUCUGAAACUGUGAACUCUGAUUGAUCAAUCUCAUUUCUCAAUUUUUCUCCAACAUUUGACUUGGAUUGGUGGACUACUUUUCAUUUGUACUUCAUCUGCUUGUCACAUUGUUAUUUAGUAUUGCUAACAAUUCUACGGAACCUACAUUGAGGAACUGCCACACCAAAUUGGCAACUUGUACUUUUGAUCCAACCCACCACAUUGCUUAUACCAUAAUGCAUUAUUUAUACGAUGAACUAGAUAUCAAUGUAUUCAUCAAUAGUUUAUUUCUGUAGAUAAGCAAUUUUAUAACAUGUUUCUAGGUGGAAUACUAUGGAAGUCCAGUUAGCUUGAAGAGCAUUGCUCAAAUUAGCACCCCUGAUGCCAGUUCCCUUCUGGUACAACCAUAU